CAUCAGCUGUUCUGAGAUCUGAUACGGAUACGCUUUUAUUCAUCAAGGACGCAUUUAAGAUUUCUAUUUCAAAUACAUGUUGUUCUUUUGAACUUUCUAUUCAUCUGUGAAACCUGAAAAAUAAAAUGCAUCACAGUUUCCACAAAAAUGAUUUUGACAAUGUGUUCAACAUUGAUAAUAAUCAGAAAUGUUUCUUGAGCAGCAAAUCAUCAUAUUAGAAUGAUUUCUGAAGAUCAUGUGACACUGAAGACUGGAGUAAUGAUGCUGAAAAUACAGCUGCACAUCACAGAAAUAAAUUACACUUUAACAGAGAUUCACAGAGAAAACAGCUGUUUUAAAUUAUAAUAAUAUUUCGUUGUCUUUACUGUAUUUUGAUCAAAUGAAUGCUGGACUGAUGGAUGAAUGUUGUCCGUCUCGCUGCAGGUUCAGAUGCUGAAGGACCGGAGCGACUGAACACACAUCUAAUGUAAACGGGUCAGUCUGCAGACUGCUGCUGGUCCUCAGUGAGGCGGUUGCCGUGGAGACGGUUAUUUCUGUGUGAUGCUUCAGCAUCAGAGGCGUCUGGAACAGAAUGUGCUCGUGUCUCUCCUCCAUCGCUUCAUCUCUCUCUCUCUCUGUGUGAGUCUGUCUGUCAUCUGCAGGCUUUCUGUCUGGUUUUCAGUGUAAACAUUCUUAAAUCAAGAUUCAUUUACCGGAGAAGCAAAGCGAGUAUCUCAGUUAUGAAGUCUGUUUUCUGAGAAACUGUCAGAAUUAAGUAAGUUUACAUUUAAACAAGAACAAUGGAGUCAGAACAACACACUUCAUUUGGAAACAUUUGUCAAAAAACAAAACUCAUCUGAUGUCAUUUUGCAUCACUAGUAAAUGUAUCCUGAUUUAAGGAUGUUUAGAUAUUUAUACUGGAAAACAAGACAGAAAUAGAUUUCUUCAGGAACUAAAACUAAACAAUUCAAAAACAAUCACACACACACACACACACACUCCAGAACUUCAGUCUGUUUCAUAUUGUCUUGUUUGAGUUGAGUACAAUCGUCCUCAGAAGCAUUUAGUAAAAAUAUAAACAUGCACCUCACGAAU
ensembl:lncRNA